rnacentral:rRNA from 1 species
UGAGUAAUGCCUAGGAAUCUGCCUGGUAGUGGGGGAUAACUUUCCCGAAACGGACGCUAAUACCGCAUACGUCCUACGGGAGAAAGCAGGGGACCUUCGGGCCUUGCGCUAUCAGAUGAGCCUAGGUCGGAUUAGCUAGUUGGUGAGGUAAUGGCUCACCAAGGCGACGAUCCGUAACUGGUCUGAGAGGAUGAUCAGUCACACUGGAACUGAGACACGGUCCAGACUCCUACGGGAGGCAGCAGUGGGGAAUAUUGGACAAUGGGCGAAAGCCUGAUCCAGCCAUGCCGCGUGUGUGAAGAAGGUCUUCGGAUUGUAAAGCACUUUAAGUUGGGAGGAAGGGCAGUUACCUAAUACGUGAUUGUUUUGAC